GAGUUUGAUCCUGGCUCAGGAUGAACGCUAGCGGCAGGCUUAAUACAUGCAAGUCGAGGGGCAGCACGGUUAGCAAUAACUGGUGGCGACCGGCGCACGGGUGCGUAACACGUAUACAAUCUACCUUAAACAGGGGGAUAGCCUUUCGAAAGAGAGAUUAAUACCCCGUAAUAAAUUGAACGGCAUCGUUUGAUUUGAAAGCUCCGGCGGUUUGAGAUGAGUAUGCGUCUGAUUAGCUAGUUGGUGAGGUAACGGCUCACCAAGGCGACGAUCAGUAGGGGAUCUGAGAGGAUAACCCCCACACUGGUACUGAGACACGGACCAGACUCCUACGGGAGGCAGCAGUAAGGAAUAUUGGUCAAUGGAGGCAACUCUGAACCAGCCAUGCCGCGUGCAGGAUGACGGCCCUAUGGGUUGUAAACUGCUUUUUAUACAAGAGAAAACCCUGGUACGUGUACCAGGUUGAUAGUAUUGUAAGAAUAAGCAUCGGCUAACUUCGUG
rnacentral:rRNA from 1 species